UACGUAGGGGGCGAGCGUUGUCCGGAUUUACUGGGCGUAAAGCGCGUGUAGGCGGCCGUUUAAGUCGGGUGUGAAAGCCCGGGGCUCAACCCCGGGAUGCCGCCCGAGACUGGACGGCUUGAGGUCGGAAGAGGGGAGUGGAAUUCCAGGUGUAGCGGUGAAAUGCGCAGAUAUCGGGAGGAACACCAAUGGCCGAAGGCAGCUCGCUGGGACGGUACUGACGCUGAGGCGGCGAAAAGCGUGGGGAGCAAACAGGG
rnacentral:rRNA from 1 species